rfam:Triticum aestivum genome assembly, contig: Triticum_aestivum_CS42_TGACv1_scaffold_096128_2AL
UGGUGGCACCAACCGGGACUAAAGGGGGCAUUGGUAACGGUUCGUGGCACCAACCGUGACCAUUGCACCCCUUUAGUCCCGGUUGGUGCCACCAA